UGCUGAUAGGGGUGGUGGGCUCAGGGCUGGACGUGCGGGAUCUCCAUGCACGCGGGUUCUGCAGGAGAGGUGCUUGUGGCAUAAUCAAAUGGGCUGGGUGGGAAGGGAGGACAUCGACACGGCCCCUAGAAGCUGGAAACCAGUUUUCUGAAGCCAGAGAAACACAUCCCCGGCCCAAUGUGUGAUUGCAAUCGGCUGCCCGAUGGCUGCAGGCUUGUGUUUUGGCGGCAAGUCCUGGCCUGACCCUGCUCUCAAAAGUGUGGCUGCUGGCGGCAUCUUCCCAGACCAGGGCUGCUUGGAGAGGCAGAACUCCGAAACCCCGCAUAGCCGCUUGCUUAUAGUAAUUCGAUUGUGGCGUGACUUGACACGGUUGUUUGGUGACAGGGUCUCUUUCUGAGUAUUUUUGUUUGUUUUGUUUUCUGACACGGUCUCUCCACAAGAGUCCUGGCUAUCGGGGAGCUCACCCUGUAGACCAGGCUGGCCUUGAACUCACAGAGACCGUCCUGCCUCUGCCUCCCUGAUGCUAGGACUAAAGGCGUGCCAUGCGGCACCAGAGCCGGCCUAGAGGAUCUCUUCUAAUCCAGCACAUUCCUCAGUAUACCGAUGACUGCAUUUUACUUUCUUUUCCUCCGUUUGGCUCCAGUGUGCUGACUCUCCUCCACAGUCCAUUUGAACUCACCUGUUGUGGCGCUGCAGCUUUGAAUGCUUAAGUAGUGGCAAUGUUUGCCAAAUGUACUCCCACAAAUGAUCAUAUGAACUCGUGUUUCCACCAACGGUGCACCAGGAUUCCCUUUUCUCUGUACUUCGCUGUGUGUCCAUAGGAGAUUCUCCACUUCCGCCGAUGGAUGGAUGGAUGAAGGAAUCCAUGGGAGAUCCUCUCCUUCCGCUGAGGGAUGGAUGAAGGAAUCAGACUGGUUGUCAGGCUUGUGCUAUAUGUUUUCGACUUCCAUGUCCCCCGCUGGCGAUGAUGUCCCAGUUUACAGGGGACUUGUGGCAGCUAUUCCUUGUCACCACAACAAGCUCUGACAGCCAGAUCUACGGUUUGGUAAUGGUAGAUGGAAAGAGGCACUGGUGUGAGGCCCGCUCUGGAAGACCCAUUGGCGUGACUUCCUUAUUGGCACAUAGUCGGUCACAGCUGCUUAAGCUCUUCGUACGCAGAGCCUUCCAUCAUGUCUCCUAACUGUCUUGCAAUAAAACAGUAGCUUAUAAAAGAA